CUGAAGAAAAAGCAUCGGCUAACUCCGUGCCAGCAGCCGCGGUAAUACGGAGGAUGCAAGCGUUAUCCGGAAUCAUUGGGCGUAAAGGGUCCGCAGGUGGCGAAUAAAGUCUGCUGUUAAAGACCGGGGCUUAACUCCGGAAAGGCAGUGGAAACUGAUUAGCUAGAGUACGGUAGGGGUAGAGGGAAUUCCCAGUGUAGCGGUGAAAUGCGUAGAUAUUGGGAAGAACACCGGUGGCGAAAGCGCUCUACUAGGCCGAAACUGACACUGAGGGACGAAAGCUAGGGUAGCGAAAGGGAUUAGAUACCCCUGUAGUCUUAGCGGUAAACGAUGGAUACUAGGUGUAGCUUGUAUCGACCCAAGCUGUGCCGAAGCUAACGCGAUAAGUAUCCCGCCUGGGGAGUACGCACGCAAGUGUGAAACUCAAAGGAAUUGACGGGGGCCCGCACAAGCGGUGGGGUAUGUGGUUUAAUUCGAUGCAACGCGAAGAACCUUACCAGGGCUUGACAUGUCGCGAAUCUAGCGGAAACGUUAGAGUGCCUUAGGGAAUGCGAACACAGGUGGUGCAUGGCUGUCGUCAGCUCGUGUCGUGAGAUGUUGGGUUAAGUCCCGCAACGAGCGCAACCCUCGUCCUUAGUUGCCAAUAUUAAGUUAGGCACUCUAGGGAGACUGCCGGGGACAACUCGGAGGAAGGUGGGGAUGACGUCAAGUCAGCAUGCCCCUUACGUCCUGGGCGACACACGUACUACAAUGGUUGGGACAAAGGGCAGCAAGCUCGCGAGAGUAAGCGAAUCUCAUCAAACCCAGCCACAGUUCAGAUUGCAGGCUGCAACUCGCCUGCAUGAAGUAGGAAUCGCUAGUAAUCGCAGGUCAGCAUACUGCGGUGAAUUCGUUCCCGGGCCUUGUACACACCGCCCGUCACACCAUGGAGGCUGGCUACGCCCGAAGUCGUUACCCUAACCCGGUUUUGGGAGGGGGAUGCCGAAGGUAGAGCUAGUGACUGGGGUGAAGUCGUAACAAGGUAGCCGUACCGGAAGGUGUGGCUGGAUCACCUCCUUU
rnacentral:rRNA from 1 species